rnacentral:lncRNA from 1 species
CACAUGAACGUGUUCAAACAAGUACAUACGAAAAUUUCUCCCGGACUCAACUAAGAAUUUCACGUUUCUACCAAACAUAUCUUAGAUUUCCUAUACUCGUCUUCUAGGAUUUUUCUCAUGCAUAUGCUCGAAUUAGCAGCUUCUAAUACUUUUUCAUAGGUCGGUAGAGUUUUUACUUCCAAAUAUGUUAUUAUUUCAUCAAACAUACGUUAAAUGUACAAUACCAUUCUAUAGGUAUUAAUACACAAUUUACGAUAUCACCUAAUUAAAUAUUAUUUUAUGAUAUCCGUCGAUCGUUUAUCUUUAAAAUUAUCGAUGUCGACUAUCAGAAGUCUUUUUAAUAAUUCGAAAAGUUUCAUAUCAAUUCCAAUAUAUAAAUUUUGAAAUCUGGAAUACAUAAAAUUUCAAAUUCCAUACAAUGGUCGGUAACAGACCUUAAACUUUCUCAUGUAAUAGCGAUAUAUGUAAGCAACCUAAGGCCCACUAUAUUCAUUUAUCAUUUAACACAUAUUAGAAUACAAGGCAUAUCUCUUCUAAUAUUCUAGUGCUUGUGUCCAUUUAGGUAUUCAACCUAAAUUAUACUAGAUACACAUCGUAUCAUCAUCCCUUAGUUAUCCAUGUUUAAGCCUAGAAAUUCUUAAAAUUCCUAGUUCACUUAAACUAAUUCUCUAAAAAUUUUGAAGUAACUUAAUAUUUUGGAAUACUAGAGUUUAUCACAACCCAAUACCCCACUUAAAUCAUUGCUAUGGUUUGUAUCCAUAUACUUACAAAUGACUUUGUUCAUAUAUUAAACGUUAGACAGUUUAAGUCUAAAUACCAAGGUGUGAUAUUUAGUUUGCUUAAACUAGUGCUUUGAUUCCAUGAAUGAAAGACCCACACUUUCAUGUUUCUGAAAGACCUAAACUUUCAUACUUGACAAUUGUUACUCGAAAACAUGCAAAAUGCAUAUUCAUAAAAACAAUAUUUUACAUUGAUAAUUGGAUUACAAAAGACUGAAUACAAAACAAGGUGUUAUAUCUAUACAUAACUACCCAGGAUAUUAUAGUUUUAUAACUAUGUAAACUCAAGUACAAAAGUAAUAGUAUAAAAUAUUCUAAAUCUUCCAACAAUAUACAAUUGUACUGGUUACUUAUCUCCUGCAAUUUGUUAAAGAUUGAGAGGGGUAAGCGGUGAUGCUUAAUGAGUUCAAUAACAGAUACAAUAUAACGUUAUGCCAUAUAUAUACGUCAAUAUGGCAGAAGCAAAGAGGAACAAGGAACAACAAAGGCAUAUGUGAAUCAUGUCACAAAAUUUCCAUAUCAAUCAAUGAUUUGAUUCAGAUAUAUACAAUCAUUGAGACAUAAUAAUUUCCAUACUUAAUAUACAUCAACAAAGCUGCGUCAAAAAUGGCACAGAAGACAUACAAUUUCUAAUUAACAUUUUGGUAGAUUUCAGGCUUAUAGCCAUGUCUAACCAUCUGCCAAUUCCAUAGAACAGAAGUCAUUCUCUUACGGAGACAUGCUCUACAUUCCCAGAGGCACGUACCAGUACCACCGUGAAUCUAAGUCCUUUCAUUGAUCUCAUGGUCAAAGGUACAACUUCGCUACCAUAAUAGCGAAAAUAAUAACACGAGACGAUAACACAGAAAAGCACAUAGUAGAUAUAACACAUAACAUACAAUUGUGCCUAUAUAUUGAACUCACCGUUAAAUAACCGAAGGAAUAAAUGAUAUUUUGGGCAGCACUUCGGCUCUAAAUAUGACUUUCUGCGUUGAAACUGGGGAUUUUAGUUAAAAACAGGCCUUACACGGGUAGAGUUUCGACUUGAAAAAAUAAUUUUCUCGAGAACUUCAGAGUGUUGGGACUUGCUUUGGAUGUCGGGGAGGAUACCACUACUUCGGGGGUGUUAGAAGGGCUUGAGAGAGGCUAGAGAUUGAAUGAGAGUGAGAAUUUGUAACAUAAACCUGGAGGACUGGAUUUCUAUUUAUAGGCUGAAAAAUCGACUCUUACAUCGUGAAGCAUGAAUGUUCACGUUGUGACUUUGAUCCUGGUCAUCCCCUAGGCUUGUCGUGUGUCUUCUAGGCUCGAAAUGCGUCGUUCACUGAGUUCACCUCGUGAACAGUGUGGUCACGUCGUGAAUUCAGUCAAAUUCCUUAAGUUUGUGUUCCAUACGUACGUAGAUGAGAUUAUGCUCUACAUCUUUCAUUUAGACUCUGUUGGCUAAUUUUGAAUUUAUUUUUAAUAUUAUAUUUUUAAUGGGCUGAGACACGAAAAGUCGGUUAAAAUUUCAUAACUUCUUCAUCUGACGUCCGUUUUCAUCUGUCUUUUUACCGUUGUACUACUAUUGACGAGACAUUCGAUUCUUAUUUAGGUUGUGUCAGCUAAAUAUCGCUUGAUCUUUAUUUCGAGUUUUUAGAUGUCUUAUGCUAUACCGAAUUUUAGAAUAAUCAUAACUUCCUCAUAUGAAGUCAGAUUUGGACGUUCUUUUUAUGAAAGUGUUGAGAGAAAAACUUGAGUCACACUUGAACAAAUGUUAGAACAAGUGAUAAUGUGGAAUAAAGUUUACCUUAGAUGAUCAUUAAAGCUCAACAAUAAUAAUAAUUUAGAGUUAGAAGGUUAGAAGGUUAGAUGCGGAAAUAUUAGGAAAUAUAAAAGAUAAUAAGUAUUAUAUCAAGUAUACACUUAAGUUUAUUCUUAACGAGGAAUGCAAUUAGACCAAGUUAGUAAGUGAGAUAAAACUUAGUGAUUAAGUCUAGAAAGACGUGCUCCGAAGAGAGAUUUCAAACAGAUAAGAUUAUAUUUAAGUCAUAAGUAAGAAGAGAAGAAGAUGAGUACUAAGAUUUAAGAUGCGUAAGAGAAGUAUUUUCAUUGAGAAGAAGAGAACUCUAUUUAUAGAGUCUCGAAGAUUAGAUACAAUCUAAUAUGUUAAGAGUUUCCACGCAGGGCACACUGGAUAAAAGAAAGUACUGAUAGAAAAACAGAUAUUAGACUAAGACUAAGAGAUGAUGACUUCGGUUGUUGAUCUUGGUUGCGGUGUUGAGAUUGACUGCAGUUGCUGAAAACUUCUUCGGAUCUCGUUUAAGUUUAAGAGGGUCACUUUUAUGUUUCAACAAUUUCCCCUAAGUGACCUCUUCAACUUUUGUUUCAAGUGUCGAACUUGAGGAACUUGAUGAGAAUCCACCAGAACUUCCUGACUUCCUUAAGCCAUAUGAUUCUCCUUGAGAUUUCAAACUUCACUUCAGCAAUUGUGUCUUUUGAUUUAUUGACUGCAGCCUGAGUGAUCUCCAAUUGCUUCCGAGUCAUGCGGUUCAUGGUAGUCAUUCGGAUGAAAUACUUUGUUUCAUCAUUUUUGCUUUUGAAAAUGACUCCGAGAUCUGGGAAGUUGGUUGCUCCAAGGGAUCUUUCUGGAAAGCCUUUAGUUAGGACCGGAGCUAGUUAAAGAGGAGGAAGGUUGAACUUCUCAGCAAGUGUUGGGUGGAUGUCCGCAUCAAUUCUUGCGAAAUCACAUACCGUCUCUUUUAGAAUGGUACAAGACCUUUCAUAAGCAAUCUGCAUCUUUGGGUGUUUUUUAAGUCUUGUUCUAAAAUACCUUUGCAAUCAGCAAGAUUUCUUCCGUGUUCAUGCAAGGGAAAUCAGCUUGGGCUCGGAUGUAGUCUGAGUUUCUUCUGGUGAGAGUAUAUUGAAUGAAUUCAGCCUUCAUGAAUUUCCGAGGCUUGUAGUUUUUGACUGCGGUGUGCCUAUCGUUCGACCAUAUUUUCUCAAUAGAAGACCCAUGCUUGGCAUGAAAUCUGUUGAGUCUCUUAAAAUCUAUGGGCAACCUUUUGUCAUCGGGAAGACUGUGGUCAAAGGAUUCAAAUAUUGUGAUGUAUUUUGCAUUUGGAGAGAUAGGAAUGUCCCAAUAACCGUCAUGGGGAGGUUCUGUGUAUGUAAGGUAAGGCUUGUGGUCGUCAUCCAAUAAUCUUCUAUGAGGAUUGACCUAGGAAUUGAUGAGGGAUUCGUCCAUUGUGAUAUCAAUUCCAUUUUCCCUCCAGAUCAACUCAGCGAAUUUAGCUGAUCUCUAGUUAGCAUUCUUUUAUUUGGUUGCGGGAGAGUCGACUGAGUGUUCUGACGACAUGUAAGAAGCUAAGUUCUUAAAGUGAGGGGGAGUCUCGGGUCGGUCGGGAGAAGGAUGAGGUUCUUGAAUUGGCGUUUGUUGCGGUGGUGACUGAUGACUUGGACUUCUUUGGGGAGAGGGAACAAGUGCUUUCUUCUGAGGAGAUGGUUGCGGUGAAGGUUGAGGAGUAGGAGGUUUUCCUUGGCGCGAAUGAGAAUGCGGAUAAGAUAUUUGAUAAGAGUUUUCGUCUUCACUUCCCCCUCUUGAGGAAGGAGCAGUUGGUACUUCCAUUGCCUAAGGCCAUCAAUUUUUCCACAGAUUUCGUCAAAUUGAGCCUUUAGUCCAUCAACAAGUUGUUGGUUGAUUGGAAUUUCGGGGUUAAAGAGUAAUCAACGAAUUUCCUUGGUGAGGCGUAAGAUUUCAGGACCAUGAAAGUUAGAGGAGAUUGACCUGCAGAGGUUGUUGAUGGUUGUCUGUAGGACAGAGAUGGCAGAUUCAUACGCAUUGUGCAUUUCGUCAACAACUUUCUGGGAUUGAGCAUAUUUAUCUAAAUGAUGUUCUAUAGAUCAAAUUUGAUGGAGGAUACUUCAGAGAUAAGUUUUUCAGCAGUGGAGAUGAAGUGUUGAUGAUCAGCUUUGUGGUUGUUAUCUAGGGCUCGGAUGCCCAUUUCCACCUUGAGAGAGAUGCGUUUUGCAACAAGAUGCUCUCUGGCUUCCAGUCUUUCGAUGCGGUCGAUGAGGGACUGUGGGCCAGUUGAGUCUUCAGAUUGCGGUUGGGAAUAUUUUACUGCAGCAGGAAUCUGAUCCACUUUAUCUUGUAGAGACAGGAAUUCUUUUCUGGAAAUAGCUUGCUUAUUUUUCUUCUUCUUCUCCUUGGGCUUGGAAGUGGAAUGCUGAGAUCCUCUCGAUUCUACUUCUUCAACAAAAAUCGUAGUUGGGUCAUCUGAAGGCUCUGGCUGAUUGACUUCAUUCAUGUUGAAGUCAUCGAAGCCAAAGGUUGGUGAAGAACUGACUUCAAUCGCCGUUCCGUCCUCUUGAGAGUUAUCAACAAUAGUUGUUUGAGGGGGCCUAGAUGAACCUGCACCAUUGGGAUUGGAUUGAGCUUUGCGGAUGGUCUUGGACAUUUCAUCCAUCCAGUUUUGGACCUUGAGAAUUGUCGCCACGGUGUUGGCAUUGUUUAUGGCAUUGACCCAGUAUUUGGCUACGGUUUGUAUCUUCUACUGCUUUUGUUGAAGUUGCUUAGUUUGUUGAUCUUUUCUUGCUUGAAAUGCCCAUCGGAAAGCGGCAUGCUUCUGUACUUCUGAUUUUAUGACUGUAACAACCGGAAAUUUCCAUUAUGAACAAACCAUAUCAAGCCAAUAGAAGUAGAACAAUUUCAGUGAAAUUCCAGACUUCGGGUAUAAGUUUGGUAGUUUUUCAGGAUUUACACUUAAGGAGAUAUCAAGAGAGUGGAUGCACUAGGGUUUUGUGCAACACUGUUAUUCCAAUACUCUAGGAUAUUAGAGUUCAUUACGGGAAUAAAAUAUUUUCUGCCCAAAAAUCUUAGGACUAUAUAUAGAAAUCUGAACGAAAUAAUUCAUUAGUUACAUUUCCAAUUAGAGAAAAGCCAAAUUCUCUCUCACGGAUCUUCGGGUUUUUAUCCCAAAUUGUGAGUACUUCGAUCUAGUUUUAUAAUAUAGCUUAGAUUGUAGUUUAUAACAUCAAAAUCAUGCCAAAACCCCAAGAUUUGGGAGUUUACCGCCCAAGAACACUUGGGGAGUCAACUCCAUUUUAAGGGCCAAAAGUGUCCCAAUUCCCCUCAAAGCCUUAGAACUCAACAUAGGGACUACCAUUACAUGUUUAGACCACCAAAACAAUUAAGAUUCAAGGGUGAAAGAAAGUUCACGGCCAAGGAGGUUCUUGGGCCGUGAACUCCAUUUUUAUGUGCCAAAAUUCCUUAAAAACCCUACUUAAGCUAAGAGACUAAUUUGGGCAUGUACCUAAAUGAGUUUAGGACUAGCUAACACACUUAGAACACCAAGAGUAAGGUGUUCACGGCCCAAAAGGUUCUAGGGCCGUGAACUCCAUAAAAUGGUGCCAAAUGGUGCCAUAAACUCUUCUAAAGCCAAGUACAAAAGCCUAGUUUAGUUCCUAGUUAAUUUAGGGACUUGAAAACACCAUAAACAUCCUCCCAAGGGAGAUUACGGCCGUAAUCUCCAAGGGAAUAUGGUCCCAGGGCCGUAAACUCCUAAAAGGAGUUAUAUUAUGCCCUAAACUCUUCCAUAGACCAAGCCAUUAAGUAGAAAUGCUUAUUAGGGCCUUAUAGAGCAUCAAACAUCAAAUGGACACAUAAGUAUGAGUUCACGGCCGUAAACUCAUGAGUUUACGACCGUAAACUCAUUUGGUAGUGUCUUUAGGGUCGUGAACUCCCUUAUGGAGUUUUCCUUGAGCCCUACACACAAUAGCUUCCCCUACAAACACUUAGAUGCAAUCCUAGAGGCUAAUAACACUUGAUAAAGGUGUUUAGCAUGUCCUAGGGUGUCUUGACUUGUUUAUUAGUUGUUUAUAGACAAAUUUGUUACAUAUAUGUGAAAUUAUAUGUUAACUAGGAUCAUAGAGUGUGUUCAAGACUUCACUUGACACCUAGCGGUCCUACCUCUUCAGUUCAUCCGUAUCACCCACAACAGGUGAGUUCAUACCCCUUAAUCAAUGUUUUAACUAUUUUUAAAUGUUUUAUGGGGAGGGGGGGGGAUACUAGUAGAAUCAUGCUACUUAUUAUAUCAAUCACAUUUGAUUAAUAAGUAGCAUUCAAAUGAUUUACUACGCAUUGGCCGUUUUACCAAACAAUUUCCUUCAAAUGAAUUUCAUAAACACUUUAUAUGUUUAAAACUCCUUAUUAAACUGUACAUUUUACGCUGUAUAUUACAUUUCAAACUUAUUUACAAUUGUAUUUCAAACAAACGUUUCUUUAUACUAAACCGUUUUAUCAAACCCAUGCCUUCAAAACCAUCCUAUAGAUCGACAUCAAGUAGAUCUUUUCUUAGAUAAUAAUUAUGUUCAAAGGUUUUACAAAACUUAUUUUAUACUUUUAUAUUAUAAAUUGCAUGCCUCUAUAUGUAUAGUUAUAUAAGUAAUGUUUAAAAGACUUAGGAAGGCUAUCCACCUUAUUUCCUUUUCCUCGAUUUGGAUGUGGUCUGAUAGGAUAUCGGGUACUCGUCCGAAGGUCGUUUAAAUAUUAGUUAUAAAUCAUGUGUACAUAUAUAGUCAAAAAAAGGUCCUUCUAGUUCAUCCCAUGCCCUUGGGUAGCAAGGGUAUACAUCCAUGUCCAUACGUACCAGUUAGAUUACUAGUAACCUACCAUAGGGUGGUUUAGGAAGAUACUAGAACUAUUACUAGAACGCGAUAUCAUACUAUGAGUCAGUUCAUUCAUGAGUCAAUACUUACUACUAUGAGAACAUAUACAACUAUACUAGAGAAGAACAUAUACAACUAUACUAGAGAAGAACAUAUACAACUAUACUAGAAAGAGAACAUAUACAACGAUACUAGAACGAGUACAUUACUAUACUUGCUAGGUAGAGAGCACGUACAUUACAGCUAGAACAUUUCAUUACAUUACAUAUACAUGAAUACGUUAAUAAUUGUGAUCCACUGUAUCGGAGCAUGCCUUAAAUGUCAUGGCCCGAGUUGUAGCCAGAAUUCUCUUGGAGGGAGAGCAUGAGUUUGCAUAUAGAUCUAUACUGGAUUGACUAUCCUACACCUUGCUGCUAGCUACAGCCGGACCUGCAGGUCUGCGGGUGCCAAACGUCAUUCCGGUUUACGACCAUUCGUAUGUCGUUGUUACCAGUCAAUAGUAUGGUUCAAUUAAUCACAUAAUACCUUAAUAUAAAUCUGGUUUAAGGUAGUUAGUACUGCAGUAGUUCCUAUAAUACAACACUACAGUACUACAUUAAUUUCCCCUUUUCAUAUAUUUAGUGAUCAUUUCACUUAAACAUUUAAUGUAAAAACUAUAUUUUGAUAAUGAUAGUUACACUUGGGAAAAUUACACACUUUUACAAGAAACGAACAUUUAGAACAGUUAAGUCUUUGUAGAAGACUACAUUGAGAACAGUUAAGUCUUGGUAGAAGACACCUUUAUUUAAAGAAUGAAUCAUAGGGAUUUCUAGGUUUUUCAAACGUUUACAAUUGUUUUACAAACAUUUUCAUACUUAAAGUUCAUCUACAUUUUUCCAUACUUACAGUUCAUUUACAAAAAAUUUCUUACAAACAAAUUAAGACACGAAAAUACUUAUGAUCUCACCAGCUUCAAAGCUGAUACUCGCUUUCAAAAUUACUUGUAUCCUCAGGUUAUCUAUAGACAAGUACCGAUGCAAGGGUUAGAGAAGAUGGAGCUCGUUCAAGACCCAUCUCUCAUUUUGAUUUAUGCUUUAGUAUUUAUCAAAAUUUGACAGAACACACUUGUAUAAUAAUUCUAUUAUUAAUGCAAUGGAUGAUGUUGUUGCUUGUUUACUACUUUACAUUGUUGUGAUACUGUACAUGACGUCCUCCGCCCCAAAACGUUUCCGCCAUUCUUGGUUUUGGGGUGUGACGGUGACUGGAUUGUAAUGUCUCCAGGAAUCAUUAGAUUCAUCACCGUUAAAUCCUUGAAAACGCACCAAGGUGUCCCUCGGGUUCACAGAUCCUUGCACAUUUGUGCUCACUAUGCCUAAACCACCUGAAAAAGAUGUAAGCAGAGUAGGAUUUCCAGAGCGUCCUUGGUCUCCUUGACCCAUGGUUAAGUUUGGCCUCGGCUCUGUUCUAGCAUGGCCUGAAGAAUCACCCUGCGGUUGGGUAGGUGUAUUGAGUGUUUGGAUUACAGAGUCUAGAAUGGAGCGCAACUCCGGUUAUUGCAGAAAUGAAGUCUGGAAGCCCUGGAGACCUUAGGGUGAGAAGAACCAAUUAGAUCCUCUUGGGAUCUAGUUGGGGGUGAGUCUCCAUGUUGAGAUGAAUUGUGAACACUUGCUAUAUUCAAGUGGUUGGAUGGGGUAGUAGUGAAUGGGUUUGCGGUACCCCAAGGACUACCAGAGCCUUUUGAGAGGCUAGGGUAUUGGUCUGGUCAUGCAUUUGGCGAUUGGAGCAGAUUCUAUAUCAUAAUCAUCAGAAGAUUGAUCUGAGUCAUCAUCUGAUGAAACAACCUAUUGAAGUUUACGCUUCUUGGUGGGUUUUUCUACCUUGGGAGCUUUAGAUUUCUUGGGUGCCUUACAUUUCUUGGGAGUUUCACUUGUUGCAUGUGUUCUUCCCUUGGUGCGGGGCCUGACUUGGCUCAGGCUAAUUUAUUUUGCCUUUGAGCUAAGGGUAUAUUUGAUAAGGUGGUGGAGGAUGGAGCUGCGGAUUGCUCUAGUUGAGUGGGUGCGGUAGAGGCUAAUAUGUUCUGACUUGGGAGAGGCGGGGUAGAAAGGUAUGGGUCAAUACCAUCCGUAGCCACAAUAUGAUCUGUGACUAUUUGGGUCUCAAGUCCAACUAUAGUCAAGAUAUAAAUAGGUAAACGUCUGAUUGGUCCAAAGAUAGAGUGACCUUUAGCGGUAGCGUACCUUUUGAGAUUGCGUGUGACAAAAAAGUUGAUGUCAUUGCCCAUAUUGAUUUUGGCCACUACGUGGAUAUCUGAAAUGCACGGUGCCCAAAACCUUGCAAAAGUUAGCUCGGUUGGAUUUUCCUUUGGAGUCUCCUUAAGGAUGUACUGGAGAAAAGCAUCCUGUAGGAUUUGACCGUAGUUGACAUCAUGCCCUUUAAAGAUACUCCAUAUAAUCUCGAGUAGCUUGAGGCCCAUGUUAUCCGUGCCUCUGGUCCUUCCAGAUAAAUUGCGGAUCUCGAAAUGGCAUACAAACUGCCAUACCGCAUGCAGAUGGUUCUUCUUGAAUUCUCCAAUACCCUUGAUCUGCUUCACGUAUCCCAUUUGAUAUAGUGUGGAGGUGAUGUAUGUGAUACUUGGUGAGAAAAACUUUGUCGAGGGAUGCACCAGGAGGUCGAUUGCAAUAAGAAACUUGUAUUUGGUCAAGAUGACCAAGGAGUCAUCCACCAAGUUUAGAUGAAUUUUUUGUAGAUUAUCAAGAGGUCGAUAGGCUGAGACUGCACAUUUGAACAAUGUGGAGAUUGGAACCACACCAGUGAAUGUGUCGAAUGCUCCAAAGAGUGGAUAAUUGGAGACGAACUUGAUCAUGAUACGAAUCGAGUCUUUUUAGGAAGGAUGAUCAUCGAAGAUUUCCCUAAAAUUUCUAUAAGCAAUUGAAGGCAAUUGGUUUCGUGUAGUUGAAUCAGAACCAAUUCGUUGAGCAGAGGCUGAUGCUUUUGAUGGUUUCUUUGAGUGUCCUGAUUUCACCAUUUUGAAAAGGUUGAAGAAUUUGCAGGAAAACUUGAAGUACAAGAGGGAAGAAAGAAGUUGUUCAUCUUUGAGAGAUCAGAAAGCGUAUAGAUUUCUUGGAGAGAAAAAGAGGGUUUUUAUAGUGGCGGAUUUCAAAUAGUUAUUAUUUUUACCCAAAGGAAAAAGUAGUUAAGGAUAAAAAAACUUCAAGCUUUUUUUUUUGAUUAAGGAAAUCAUUAUCAGCCACAAAAAAAUAUAUAUAUAACGAAAAGUUUUUUUUGUUGAUUUUCAAAAAAUGGAAUUUAAUGAAAUGUUGGGAAAAAUACCCGAGGUCUGAAAAACGUGUGGUGAGGGGUGAUAAUUUGUUGUAUAAAGGUGGAAUUUGUAAGGUAUUUGACAUUUUGGGGGUAAGAGGAAAAGACAGUUUAAGGAAAAGAUUUUCUAAAAAGAUUUAUUUUAUUGGAAACUGUUUUAUUUUGGCAUCACACCUAAAUUGGUCUGAUAAAAGGUUUAUUUGAAAAGCAGAACUGAAACAAUCAUAUGCUACAAAAUGAAUAUUUUGAGAAUGUUUUUCUUAUUUAAUGAAGGAUCAUUAAGUAGCACACAAUGUUUCAAGAAUUUAUGAAUUAGAUGAGAGUUCCAUCAUUGUGAUUGCGGUUUGAGUCUUCAUUGCGGAUCCAGACUUCAUUGUGGAUGACUGGUUAUAUAACUACGGUAAAGGAAACUGAGAGGAAAACUUAAACAAAAUCAGAAAUAAUAACCAAUAAAGGACCCUUGAAAUAUAGGUAUGAGAUAUGNUAUAUAUAUAUAUAUAUAUAUAUAUAUAUAUAUAUAUAGUAUAUUGCCUUCUGAAGAGAUUGCCAGAAUCAUGAAGUCAAUCUACUAUCUCGAUCUGAGAUAAUAGAUAUUGGCACUCCAUGGAGUCUCAUAACCUCCUUGAGAUAGAUUCGGGUCAGCUUUUUCAUCUUGUAAGACUCUUUUAUUGGCAGGAAAUGAGCGGAUUUUGUUAGUCGAUCUACAAUUACCCACAUUGCAUCCAACCCGUUAGCUGUCUUGGGUAAUUUUGUUACAAAAUCCAUGGUAAUCCUAUCCCAUUUCCACUCGGGUAUCACUGGUUGUUGCAGCAGUCCCGAGGGCUUUUGGUAUUCUACUUUCACCUGGGCACAAGUACGACAAUUACCCACGAAAGUGGCUAUCUCUGCCUUCAUAUUAGGCCACCAAUAUUACUGCUUGAUAUCCAAAUACAUUUUUUCUGACCCUGGAUGAAUAGAAUAACGCAUCUUGUGGGUUUCGUGCAUGACUAUCUCUCUAAAUCCCCCAAUUUUGGGAACCUAUAUUUUAUUCACAAAGUAGUAGGUUCCGUCGUCUUUGACUUCAAGCUCCUUCUGCAUUCCUCGUAGCAAUUCACAAGAGACAUUCUAUGGCUUCAUUGCAUCCAAUUGGGCUUCCUUGAUCUGUGAGGCUAGGUGAGACUGGAUGGUGAUUGACAGCGUCUUCAUACGACGACUUGAAUACUCCUUUCGGAUCAGGGCAUCGCCUACCACGUUAGCCUUGCCUGGGUGGUAUUUAAUCUCACACUCAUAAUCAUUUAACAAUUCAACCCAUCUCCGUUGCCUCAUGUUUAGUUCCUUUUGAUUUAGUAUGUGCUGGAGGCUCUUGCGGUCUGUAGAUAUGGUGCACUAGGUACCAUAGAGGUAGUGCCUCCAAAUUUUUAGGGCGAAGACUACCACCCCCAGUUCGAGAUCGUGUGUGGUAUAAUUUGCUUCAUUUGUUUUCAGUUGUCUGGAUGCAUAAGCAAUUACCUUCCGGCAUUGCAUAAAAACACAUCCUAAACCCUGAUUCAAAGCAUCACAGUAAACUAUGAAGUCUUCGGUUCCCUCCGGUAAGGAUAGCAAUGGAGGACUACAGAGGGCUUGCUUCAAGGAUUGGAAAGCGAUCUCUUGAUUCUCCGUCCAGCUGAACGGUACACCUUUCUGUGUCAAUGUGCUGAGUGGUUUGGCUAUCUUGGAGAAGUUCUUAAUGAAUCUUCGGUAAUAGCAUGCUAGCCCUAAGAAUUGACGAAUCUCCGUUGCCGUUGUCGGAAUCACCCAGCCUUCAAUGGCCUUGACUUUGGAGGGAUCUACGUAGAUUCCUUCCUGGCUAACUACAUGUCCCAAGAAAUUCAUAUUGCGGAUCCAAAAUUCACACUUGGAGAGUUUCGCAUACAACUUUUCAGCUCGAAGGGUUUCUAAAAUAUGUUGGAGAUGAUGGCUAUGAUCUUCUUCACUUCGAGAGUAUACGAGAACAUCAUAAAUGAAAACAAUUAAGAAUUUAUCAAGGAAUGGGCGGUAGACUCGAUUCAUGUGGUCCAUAAAUGUAGCAGGGGCAUUCGUUAGACUGAUGGGCAUCACGACGAAUUCGUAAUGACCGUAAUGAGUUCGGAAACCAGUCUUGGGAAUGUCCUCAUCUCGGACUUUAAGUAGGUGAUAAGAGGAUCUUAGAUCUAUCUUUUAAAAGUAACUAGCCCCUUGAAGCUAGUCAAAUAGAUCAUCGAUUCGCGAAAGUGGGUACCGAUUUUUGAUGGUGAGCUUAUUCGGUUUCCUAUAGUUAAUGCACAUCCUGAAGGAUCUGUCUUUAUUUUUAACAAAAAGAACCAGAGCUCCCCAUGGUGAGAAGUUGAGUCUGAAGAAUCCUUUAUUCAGGAGUUUGCUCAGUUGGCUUGACAAUUCCUACAUUUCAGUAGGAGCCAACCUAUAAGGUGAUUUGGCAAUUGGAGUGGCUCCAGGCACUAGGUCGAUUCGGAAUUUGAUUUGUCGUUCUGGGGGGUAUCCCCGGAAGAUCUUCUGGAAACACAUCCCGGAAAUCACAUGCCACUAGGAUGUUAUGAAUGCUCUCUUCCUCUUUGGUUUUAUCCACCAUGUGAGCAAGGAAUGCAUAGUUAGACACUUUUAUGUCUUGAUACUUGAGAUAAGGCGAAGAUUUGUGUCGGGUUUAUCUUCGUAGAUUAUUAGGGUUUCGUGGUUAGUAAGAUGAAAGCUAACGAUUUUCUCAAUAUCGGCAUGAUGGGGGCUUAACUAAUCCAUGCCGAUGAUCACAUCAAAACUCUUACUAUUCACAAGCAUUAAGUUUAUUUGGAAAUUGUGAUUGUUUUGAGUUAUUGCACACCCUACAUAGAUAUCCCUAGUUGAUUUGGUCUUCCCAUUAGCCAUUUCCACCGUGAAGGCUUCAUUGAGCUUCUGGGGUUGUUGUUUUAGUAAAUGUUUGAACUUAUUACUCACAAAACUUUGCUCUGCUCCGCUAUGAAAUAAAAUGCGUGCAUACAAGUUAUUAAGAAGGAACGUACCAGUGAGAACGCCUGGGUCCUGCACUGCUUCACGCUGGCCCAUUGUCAGUACUCUCCCCGCUGCUCCUGCUCCAUGAUUGUUUGCGUUUCGGCAGUUUCGUCUGAUAUGCCCCAUUUUCCCACAUCCGUAAGUUGUUGUUGUUGUGGUUAUUGUUGUUGCUGUUGUUGUUGGUUGGCAUCUAGUUCUGUUGAAGCUGAGUGCUAUAAUACUUUGUUGUAUGGCCUUUCCGAUGGCACCUUCUGCAACUCUUUUCUCGGCACUCCCCGUGAUAGUAGAAGUGGCAUUUGUUACACUUGGGGAGAUUUCCCGAGUACUGUUUGGAAGCAUUUGGUGUGGAUGAAGCUGGAGCAUGUGGUGUGGUAGUAGCUUGUGUCGCAGCAUGGACAGACACCGUUUGUUGUUUCAUAGAAGAUUCCGAUUUUUUCUUUCCUUUCCGCUUGUUGUUUUUCCCCUUCUUGUUCUCUUCCUACUUCUUAGCCUCCGUUACCGCUGUCUUGGAACCCUUGUUAUUGCCAUGAUCAUGCAGUUUCUUGUCCAGUCUCUUAGUCUAUCAAAUGUCUUAGGGUUUGCUGCGAUGACAUUCCCUUGAAUAGGCUCAAUCAGUCCCAAGAUAAACCUUUCAAUUUUUUUCUCUUCGGAGGUGAUCAUUCAGGGACACAAAAGAGAUAGCUCACUAAACCUGAAUAUGUAUGCGUCGAUGUUGGAGUUUUGGACCGUGAGGUUCCACAACUCUUGCUCCAUCUUUUGAAUCUCACCUCUAGGACAGUAUUCUGCUAGCAUCAUCUCCUUUAGCUCUUCCCAAGACAUCGCGUUGGCCAUGGGGAUUGUCGUGGCCUCUACGUGGCCAUUCCUCUAGGAGAGAGCUUGGUCAAUGAACGUGAAGGCUGUGAACUUGACCUUACACUCAUUCAGACAUCUGCAGAGGUUUGGCGUUGGUGAAGUCCUUGUAGGUGCUUGGUCGUGUGGCUCAGUGGUUUGUCCCUUGGUUUGUACUUCCUGUUGGACAAGGUGUCUAUGUCCAUAAGUAUUUCUGGUAUGUACUUGACCUGACCCGGCAUGAUCCAUUUGGGUUGCAUGGCAUCAUGCAUUUGGAUAGACUAAAUGAGAGAAAUAACUCUUGUGGUUUAUUAAUAUAUUAUAAAGUUCUAAUAUAUUAAUAUUAUUAUUUAAUUAGUAUUGAUCAAGAAUUAAUUUGGAAUUAAUUAAGUGAUCAAAAGAUAACUCAUUAAAUAUAUGGGUUGAUUAUGUAAAUCACCCAUAACUUGUAUAGUGCGCUAAAAGGCUCCAUGGAUUAUCAAGUUGGGUUAAACCCAUAGGAUGCUCCAUGGGAGUUUCAAACCCAUGGGUCAUGGAAAUGAAGAGUCAUGACACAUUAGGGUUUACAUGUUCUAACCCUAGAUGUGUCACACUAUAUAAGUGACAUCUGCUCCACCAAAAUCGGCUACAACAAGUACAAGAGAGGGCUAAGCCGAUUUUCAAAGUGUUUGCAUUCUCUCGAAGUCAUUCCAAAGCAUUUGGUGUUGUGUGAAGCAUUUGAAGCAUCACACUUGGGGUGCUAGGCUCUCAAGGUUUUCAAGGAAUCUAAUCAACUACAAGGUAUGUAAUUCUAGCCAUCUUUUAGAUUUAAAAGUUCUCCAUGUAUGCUAGAUAGGAUUAUGAACUUUGGAAAUCAUAUUUUGCAGGUGUUUUAGACAAACAUAUAUCCAAGGUUUUUCUAGGGUUGCAUGUACAGUUAGGGGUGUUAGAAUGCUCAUAACCCAUCAGUGGUAUCAGAGCCUAGGCUUGUUUGUGAAUACUUGCUGCAAAAUAGUAUAAAAAUCGUCGUUCUUUGAUGUCUGCACAGGGGACUCGACGAGUCCAUGGGGAGGACUCCACGAGUCCAACUGAUAAUGUAACCAACUCGGCGAGUCAGUUGGUGCAAUCGGCGAGUUGGCCAUGCAGAAUGCAGAAAUUCGAUUAGUGCUGUUGGAAAUGGACUAGAAACAUUAUCUUAAACUGUUUUGGUGUUAUAAAACAUGUUUUAUAUGGUGUAAUGGUUGUUCUAAUCCAUGUACAACGGCUAAUAUCAAUUUUUCAUGAUUAUAUGUGUUCAUAUGCUCUUGAAAUUUUGAUAUGAAUAUUCAUGUUUUUAUGAGUUUUGAUAGAUCAUAGGAGUUACUUGUUUAAAAGAUUAAUUCACGAUCUUUAUGUCUUUUAAUGGAGUCCAUAACUUAUCCUCAAGUUAUGGAUAAUCAAAAGUCUCUUGGUGUUAAAAGCCAUUAAAAGAACACAUAAGUUAUAAAAUGAAGAGUCUUCAUUUUAAUGACUCAUAAGUUAUGAAUGUGAAAGGUUUUGUAAAGUUACAAAACAUGCCCUCAAGUUUUGGAACAUGUAAAGUCAUCCAAUAAACUUUAGUUCCAACCCCUAGAUUUUUAAAAGUUAAAAAUCAACCCUUAUACUUUAUGUUGGGUAUUAUGUGUUGCGUCAUGGGCUAUUCUUUUGUAUAUCCGGUAUUGGGCCUAUCCAAUGAUGAUUAUACAUUAGAGUUACGUAUUAUAUAUAGUGCAUGCAUGUAUGCCUUAGAUGCCAGUCAUUGAUUAUCUUUUUCAUUGGAACCUUAAGCACCUCUACAGUCGAAGUUCUUCAUCGAGCUCUUCUGGGGUGUUAACGUUUAAUCAUUUGACAUCAUUCAAACCAUUCUUGUUUUCUUUAUUGUUUCAUUUAUUGUUUUUCUGCUUGAAUCAAUCGAUCAUUAAGGAAUACUAUUCCAACAAUUGGUAUUAGAGAAGGAGAUUGUGUUACUCAUACACAUUUCUUCUGUGUGAAGAAUUCUUUAGGGUUUCAGCUUUCAUCAACUAUAUAAAGGUCCUCUACUUUAAGUUGACAACCUGGUCUAGUGUUUGAUAAAAAAAACCCUAAUCUUUAGAUUAGAAGUCUGAUUCUAGCAGACCCGAAAACCAAGCUCAUCAUGUCACAUGACGACUCUCAAGCCAAUCCUAUUAACAUUUCAAACAACAUUAGAUCCACUACAAGGGUUCCUAUUCUCUACACUCAAGACAAUGAAGUAUGGGCGCAUCACUUUGAAGAUUACGUGAUUGGAUCUGAAGAUAAUGGCUAUCUCAUUUGGGAAGCCAUUACGAUCGGUCCAUUCAUCCAUUCCGAAACAAACAGGAUAGUGCAGACUCAGAAGGAAUAUAAUAAGAUUUUAUUAGAAGUAGAAAAGAUACCACAAGAUGAAAAAGAUAAGUUGAUAUGUAAUCUCAAAGCUUUAAGGAUGAUUCGGUUUGUCGUACAAGCAAACACCUUCCGUCUGGUCAGUUCAUGCUCUACUUCAAAAGAGAUAUGGGACAGACUGAAAGAACUGUAUUUAACCGAUGAUGAUCUAGAGCACUCAAUACAAACGUUGUUGCUCUCUAACUUUGGUGCCUUUGCUCAAAAACCUGAGUAGACUCUUCUUCAGACGUUUGAUCGUUACAAUCAUCCGCUCAGCAAGAUGACGAAGAAUGGUAUUGAAAGAAAGGAGAUUGAAUAGAAAGUCACAUUUUUUAAUGGCCUUAGACCUGAGUGGAUGGCAGUGGUCUCAACUGUAAAGGCUUAUGAACAGUUCAAGUCUUACUCGUUGGCAAAACUGAUGGGCAUCCUAAAAUCCCAUGAAAGCAUGGUAACAAAAGAAGCGAAGGUUGUGUCUGGCAUGGGCUCUUUAGCCCUUAUCUCGAAAGGGUAGAAUAUGACGGAAGAAGAAGAUGAUUCAGAUUUGCCUGAGUGUGACCUUACAAGUGAAGAAUAUGCGAUGAUGGUCUCCAAUCGUAAAAAGUUUCCAAGAAGGAAAUUCCCUGCCAAUAAGAACUGAAACUGGCAAGGAAGCUACAACUCAGAGAAGGUGAAAGAAGAACUAAAGAACGUGACUCAAAAGGAUGAUGAUAAGAAAGAAUGCAAGCUAGCAGGAGAUUCUGGAUACGAUUGCAAUUAUUGUCACAGCAAGAACCACCAUGCCAAGGAUUGUAUGAUGAGAAAGAUGGAUGAGAAAAAGGAUGGUGAAGAUGAUGAAGCCUAUUACCUACGAAACUUGGAUGAAAUAAAGAAUAAGAAAGCAACAAAUAGUUCAAUGAGUGCUUUAAUUGUGCAGGACAAUAUAGAUGAUGAUGAGUUUUGUGGAGUUGAAGUCUGGUCAACCGACUCUGAAGAUGAAGAAGUAGGAAAGCCCUCGCAUGGUAGAGCAUAUGUGGCUAGAGAAGGAUUCAACAGUUCAGUUGGGAAGUGCCUGAUGGUAUCUGCAAAAACACAAACUGAAGGUAAGGAUAAGGAUCCGAAUCAGAAAAGAGACAAGUGUUUUGCAGCCAAACCCGUGAGCGAAACGAUGAACGACUGCGAUCGUUUGAUCAAAAAGGUACAAUCCAUCCUAGAAUCAUUGAAUGUUCCUGUCACUAAUUAUGAUGAAGAACUAAACGAAUUAAAUUUAAAUUUUCAAACUUAAGUGGUAGUGUCAUGCAAACCCGACUAGCAAAUUCUAACCUAACUGAUCAACUCAGCAGGGAGUCUUCCAAGAGUGAGGAAAGGAGAGCAUGGAUACAGUUGAAGGAGCAAGAGUUAGCUAGGGGUAGUGAUGAGAUUAUUUAUUUGCAAAGAGACAAUUUGAAGUUUUUGAAACAACGAAAUGUUUUUUGUUUAAUUGAAAAAUGCUUAUAUACUGACAUAACUCAACUUCAUCUUGAUUGUGAAAUAGGGAAAAACAUUCAUAAGAUGAUUUUACCAUUUCUUGAAUUUAGGGAGGAUGAAGUUAUUAUUGAAUGUGAAUCAAUAAUGUCCUCUGACGAAAUUUCAGUCACUUACAAAUAUGUACUGGACAAAAUUGAGUCCUUUAUCGACUACAAAGAACACAAAAGUAUGCUUAAAAAUCUGUUGGAUGAAAAUGAUAGGUUGAAAAUUAUGUCCGAAACCAUACGAAUAGUUGACACGUCACAUGCCAAACUUUGUUCAGAUCAUAAAAUAAAUGUCGAAAACACAUCCGAAUUCGAUGAGGAAAGUGAGUUGAGCGAAAUAUCAGUGGAAGAUGUAGUUGAUUGUUCUGAGUUCUUAAAGAGAGAAACUGAGAACGAAGAACCCCUUAUAUCUGAAAACUCUAAUGAGUAUGCUCGCUUGUCGAAUGACAAGUUCAACAAACUCAAAGAGAAAGCAGUGGAUUACCAGAAAAUUCAAACCGUGCCAAAUCAGGUUUAUGCAACCAUUGGAGUCACUGGAAAACAAACACCAGAACAAAAAAUCUUGGUUGACAAAGACAAUGCUGAAGGGUGUGAUAACUAUUUCUGUUAUGCUCCUAUUGAUAAUAAAGACGAGACGGUCAGUCUGUCAAAGCAAACGUCAUGGAGGGUAAAUGACGGAUAUGUAGCAGAACCAAUCAACAAACCCUCAAGCUUUGACAAAACAAGCACAAGUGGAACCAAAGAGAUACCGGAAGAACCAGGAAAGAAACCGGAAGAAUCAAAGAAAACUUUGAAUUUAUCUCUUAAUUCAACUGAAACUCAAAAUAAGAAGCAGAAGUCAAAAUUCAACAUUCAUAAAUAUCAAAAGCAACUAGCUGAACAGACGGGAAAGAAACCAGAGAUACAUGAAAAAUCUGAGUGAGCAAAAAAGGUUUUGGCAGUCUCAGAACCCUAACCACAACCCUACUCAGAAAGAAACAAAUGUCAAAGGAAGUGACAAGUUCAAAAACAAACAACAGUCUAGUUUCGGUGCAAACUCUUAUUGAGGGAGUUUCGGUCCCUUAAGGAUGGUGGAUGUGUGAAGUAUGGCAACAACUCUUAUGGUACAAUCAAAGGUUACGGAAUGAUAACCAAUGGAUAUUUCACAAUUUGAAAAGUGGCAUAUGUUGAAGGAUUGCAGCACAACCUCAUAACUGUAUCUCAAUUGGUUGUGGGAACAGGACUGAAAGUCUCCUUUGAUGAUGAAGGCUCAAAAAUUAUUGAAAAACAAUCAAAAAGAAUCUUGUUAAAAUCUGAACGAAAGGGUGAAAUGUACCCCCUUAAUCUCAGUCAAAUUAAAGGGAAACCAGCUAUAUGCCUACUGUCCAAAGCAAAUUCUGAUUAGAGUUGGGUAUGGCACCGACGCUUAUCACACCUAAACUUCAAAGACAUUAAUAAGUUAGUGCUUGGAGAUAAUGUUCGAGGCCUCCCUCUGCUCAAAUUUGAUAAGGAACACCUAUGUGCAACUUGUGAUAAGAGUAAACAGAGCCGAAAGAGCCAUCCUACAUGUAUCAAUACCAAGAUCAUUGAAGCUCUUGAACUUCUGCAUAGUAAUUUACGUGGAACUUUGGCUAUCAAAAGCAUUGGUGGUAGUAAGUUCAUACUUGUCACUGUCGAUGAUUUUUCUCGUUUCACCUGGGUUUACUUUCUUAAACAGAAAUCAGAAGCAACUCCUAACUUAAAGAUGUUUAUCAAGCAAGUGGAACUGCAGCUACGAAAAGUGGUAAGAAACAUCAGAAGCGACAAUGGGCUGGAAUUCAAGAAGAAAGAUUUUGAAGACUUUUUGGCCGACAAGGGAGUAUCUCAUAACUUCUCUGCUCCCUAUACUCAACAACAGAAUGGAAUCGUUGAAAGACGGAACUGUUCCCUAUGUGAAGCAACUAGAACCAUGAUGAGCUUCGCUUCCCUCCCAUUAUACUUCUGGGUGGAUGUUGUUGCCACUGCUUGUUAUACUCAAAACAGAUCCUUACUUAACAAGCGAUUCUCAAUCACUCCAUAUGAGAUUCAGAACAACCGAAAGCCCAACGUCAUAUUCUUUCACGUGUUCGGUUCAAGGUGCUUCAUUCUUACAUCUAAAGACAACCGCAACAAGUUCGAUGUUAAAGAAGAUGAGGGAAUCUUUCUGGGCUAUUCACUCAGUUCAAAGGAUUAUAGGGUUUUGAAUAAACACUCCAAACGUAUUGAAGAAACCUAUUACGUAACUUUUGAUGAACUCUACAUAAAGAAACCUCAAGCAAAGGAAAUUUCCACGGCGGAAAUUUUUCCUGAAUCAGGACAGGUCUUGGUCCCCAUUUCAAAUUUGUUCGAAGAGUAUAUAAGGUUUUUUGAUGAACUAGAAAAAGCUACACACUCAGAGGUAAAUGCAGCGGACAACAAAAUCGAACAUCUGAAAAAGAUUAUCGAAGAUGCUACGAAAGACAUGACAAAGGAUCCUACAAACGAAGCUGAUGAUCAACCCACCAAUUAACAGUGCAAUAUUCGAGGGGGAGAGUUCAUCUGUGUCUCAUCCAACUCAAACCGAGGGGGAGGAUCCUGAACCUGACAAGGAACCCACUUUGUCAACUGAGGGGGACAAUGAAAAUUCAAAUGACGAAGAUGAUCGAUCAAAAUUUGAAGAAGAGGUAAAUGCAGAGUUGGAUCCUACCUAUGAACCUAACUACCCUCGUCUAAGAAAGUGGACUAAAGAUCCUCCCAAAUCACAAAAUAAUAGGAGAAUCAUCUAAAGACGUUCUCACACGUUCUCAACAGAAAGCGAAACAAACUGCAUUAUUCUCUCACGUUGAAUUUUGCAUGUUUAAUUUGUUUGUCUCUAAAAUCAAACCAAAAAUGGUCAAUAAUGCACUUGAUCAUGCUAAUUGGGUACAGGCAAUGCAAGAUGAACUCCAUGAGUUUGAACGCAAUCGAGUUUGGAGACUAAUACGCACUCCAAAGGAUGCGUCUGUGGUAGGAUUGAAGUGGCUACUCAGGAACAAAAUGGAUAAAGAGGGCAAUGUUAUUAGGAAUAAGGCUCGUUUGGUGGUAAAAGGAUACUUCCAAGAAGAAGGAAUAGACUAUGAGGAGACUUUUGCUCUGGUAGAUAGAUUAGAAUCGGUUCGAUCUUUCUAGCAUAUGUUGCUCAUAAAAACAUCGAUGUUUUUCAAAUGGAGGUGAAAUGUGCAUUCCUCAAUGGAGAACUAUAAGAAACAGUGUAUGUUGAGCAACCACCCGGGUUCUUAAAUGAGAAAUACCCUAAUCAUUGCUAUGUAUUGGAUAAAGUUGUGUAUGGACUAUAGCAAGCGCCAAGGGCCUUGUAUGAAACUCUCACACGCUUUCUAAAAAUCUCUAAGUUUAAGCAAGGUUCUAUUGACCCAACCUUCUUUAGCAAGAAAGAAGUCGAGCAUCUUAUGAUUGUUCAUAUUUAUGUCGAUGAUAUCAUCUUCGGCUCCACGAAUCCUAGCUUAACAACUGAAUGCUAGAAGCUGAUGGAGACUAAAUUUGGAAUAAGUGCAAUGGGUCCUAUUAACGUUUUUCUUGGAUUAAAUAUAAGACAGGGACCAAAAGGCAUUUUUAUUAACCAGGAAGCUUACACGAAGAAUCUAUUAGAAAAAUUGGAAUGAAGGGUGACUAGAAGGUGAAGGUUCCUAUGGCGUUUGGCACUAAGUUAACAUCAUAUCUGGAAAAACCUGCAGUCAACAUAACUCUCUAUCGAUAGAUGAUUGGAUCUCUCAUGUAUCUAACUGCCAGUAGACCAGAUAUUAAGUUGUCUGUCUGUUAUGGUGCCAGGUUUCAAGCCAAUCCAAGAUGAGCUCACAUGGUGGCAGUAAAGAAUAUUUUUCGCUAUUAGAAGUGAACCUCGUCGCUCGGUCUCUGGUAUCCAGCAAAAUCAGGUUUCUUUGUUCAAGCCUUUUCUGACGCUGAUCUGGGUGGAUGUGGUCUAGACCGAAAGAACACAACUGGUGGAUGCUAAUUUCUUGAUGGAAAACUUGUUAGCUGGCAGUCCAGAAAGCAAACUUGCAUGUCUCUUUCAACAGCCGAACCUGAAUAUAUUGUUGUUGCCUCGUGCACCUCACAAGUGAUCUGGAUACAAAGCCAAUUACGAGACUAUGGACUAAGUAUGAAGAAGAUACCUCUUUAGUGUGACUCUAAAAGUGGAAUAAGAAUAUGUCACAAUCCACUGCAACACUCAAAUACCAAGCCCAUUGCACUGCGAUAUCACUUUAUCAAGGACCAUGUUGAAGAGGGAACGUAGAAGUUCAUUUCGUUCGAUCAUCUGAUCAGCUUUGCUGAUAUAUUCACUAAAGCCUUACCUGAAGCAAGAUUCAACAAAAUUUUACAAUGUUUGGGAAUGAUGGAAGUAGACUUAGUAUCAAAUCCUUAAACCUCUUACUAAAAAUUAAGUUAAGUGAAAUAGAGCGGACGCUCGGUCUACUUCUGUUCCAUAUUUUUCGGGAACCGAAAUCAACCGAACGCUCGGUCUAUUUAUGUUCCAAAAUUUUUGGGAACCGAAAUGAACCGAUCGCUCGGUUUAUUUCGGUUACGGAUUUUUAAGGAACAUAAAUGAACCGACUGCUCGACUUAUUUCGCUUCAUUUCUUUAAGCUUUAUGUUCGGCUGUAUUCUUAGUAAUCUUUUUUAUUUAUUUUCUCCGCUUUAUUUUUAAGACUUUCUUAUAUGUUUUUUUUUUAAUUUUUUUUGAAAACUCAAAAAUCCAAAAAUAUAUUUUUUAAUUUAUUUUAUUAUUUUGAAAAGAGUUUUUUUUGUUUAUUUUGUUUGUGUGCAUGGUUUUCUUCUUUUUGUCCAUUCUUUAGGUGUCGUGCAUUUUAUAGCUACAAAAGUUGCGGUGAGGCAAGUAUGAUUUUCUUAUCUUGAACUAGUUAAGCGUCCCUAGAAGCAUGUUGCUGCAUGUAGACUGAAGCCUCAAUGACUAUGAAUGAAGCCUUAAUGAACUGAUUCUACCUAUCGGUUCUUCCCAAUCAGGCUGCUACAUUCACUUAUGUCCUGAGCUACCUUUCUCCUCUCAAAUGAGUAAGAAUAGUUCUGCUUUUUCAAUCUUAUAUAGCAGAGGUACUUUCAGUUCAUUCAACCCCCCCUCCUUUAAAAAUUUCUCCAUCACAUAUCAUUUCAUAAAUGUAAACCUUGAGACUCUCAGACAUAAUCACUGAGGUCUAUGGUUACACAAAUACUGUGUUUAUGAUCUUGGUUGCGUACACCACGUGCUAAGUGAAACCCAAAAUCCAACACCUCUACAAAAUUAGCGGUGAAUUUUAUAUUCAAGCUUUAACUUGUUGCCUAAAGAAGUCUCAUUUUAUUUUCUUGUGUGGUCUUUAUGAAAUUAUCUAACAACAAGACAUUUCUUCCCAAAAGAUCCAGUUUAGUUUUUGUUUUUGGGAUUUCUAUUCUAAAUUGUGUUACAUCCCACCUAUCCGACCAACUUGUUCCACAUACCACAUCGGUCUCACAAGUACCUCUUCCAACGUUCACUCUUAUGUUUAGCAUCGAAGUUCAGUUGAAGUUUAGCCACACUCUAAAGCCUAUGGUUAAAAAGAAGCCUUUCAAUGUUUCUGAACAAACAUAUGAUAUUUUUAUCACGGGAAACCAGACAAGCACCUCAAGCCUCUCUUGACUUUGAAGGAAGAGAUUCGUGCCCGGGAUCCUCAGCUUUAUGUUAUAUUUGACAUCACUCAUCCCAUACACUUAUUGCUUUAUUUCUUUUUCUUUGGCACACUAAUGCACGAGAAUCCUUAUGAUUUUCCACAACUCUUGUACGUGUUGCUUAUGAAUUUUCAUGUUGUUGUUGAUCGGAUAUGAAGUUCAAACGACUCUUUGGAUAUGUUCAAAACAGGGUGCGUGAAUUUGAAAUGGCUCCUAAUAUCAUCUCUGGUGACGUCUAUCUGGGGAAACCAAAUUGUCACAUCCCUACUUUCCAGGCACCUUUUCAGAGAUCGUAUCAUCAUUAUAACAAGAUUUUUUCUCUUUCCUGGGAACUGUGUAUAAAGAAUUUGUGGCACUGUUCCAUCUUAUUACUUUCCUCACAACUCUCUGAAGUGUCACAGACAACGUUCAACUGUUCAUCUUCUUCACAAAGAUCGACAAUGGCGGAUUCUUCAUCAAUUCAGGAAAAAACUGCAUCGUCAUCCCUGCUUUCGAUCAAGCCCAACCAAAAUAUGAUCAUUCAGAUGACUCCAUUCUUAUAUGAUCAUUAAAUGCUUUUAGUUGUGGAAUGUCUCAAGUAUUCCCCUCUCGUAAUAGCUAUAACUUCAGUGGAAUCCGUUCCCAUGUCACUCCUGUCUCAAGUAUACUCCAUAGCCUAUUACGACAAAAUCAAAGAGCACAUCUACUUUUAGAUUCACACUCACAAAGCUUCGAUUUCCAAAGGACGAUUUUGAUCUCUUCUAGGGCUUGCAGUAGACGCCUCGGUCAUCUCCCCAAACUUCAUCACCACAACUCAAUUGUUCAGGAUGUUCUAUGAGAUGGGAUACACUGAGGUCCUUACCACCUUCACCAAAUUCAAGAAAUCAUGUUUACCUCCAUAAUGGAAUGGGUUGCUCACCCUUCUUCACAAGGGUAUCUACAAUGGAAUCAACAUGGACUAUGGGUCUUUGAUCUGGUCCCAACUGGUACAAAGUCUUUCCUCCUCGACUAAGCAUUCUGAAAUUUCCUGUGGUCGCUUUUGGACCAUCGUCGCUCAAAGGGCAAUAACCUCCCUCAAUAUUCCUGUCAUGAAGGACUCUCUGCUCUCCUCCAUUUCCUCUUUUCAUAUCAAAAAGAUCAUUGUGACUGAUCCAACCAAGUUUUUACACAAAGGCUCUAUUCUGGAAACUAUGUACCGGUCUGUCUCUCAGGAAAGUAAACUCAUUUCUGACUACAAAUUACUUCCUCCGAAGAGUCCACGACAAUUAUCACUAGAGAUGAAAGCUGCCUUACACGAGGUGGAGAAACCGGCUAAACGAGGGAAGAAAGCUAUUUUUAAGAAAUAAGGAACCGAAGCGCCCUCUUCCAAACCCUCUAAAUUAAAGAAAAGAAAAGCUGACAAGGGUGAUUCCUCUGCUCCUCAGAAAAUCAAGAAAAUGGCUCGCAGAAAACUCACUUCUUCACCUUCACAUUCAGAACUGAAGGAUGAGCACUCUUCACGUGACGAUGACGAAGAGCAACAUAAAGGUUCACCUAGGGGUAAUACACCUCCUAGGUCUCCAACUCCGGUGGAUCUUCUUAAUGAUUCUGUUCCAACACCCCCUCCAUCUCCACCCAAGACAACCGUUCAGGUUACAGUUGCUCCUCCACCCCCAUCUUCAUCACCACUAGUUUCUACUAUUGCUCUACCACCGCCUGUCAUUUCUACUCCAAUCACCACCGCCCCAUUACCACCACCUAUUUUCUCCAAUGAAACCUUCUCCACUACACCUAUCAUUACUUCAACCAUAGAUUCUUUUGUCAACGUCAACACAUCUGAUGUGGGGGCCAUACUGAAGAACCUCCUAAAGUCACCACAGGGCCUCUUUCCCCAAAUCCUUCUAAUGAUUCUAAUCCAGUUCUUGGAGGAGCUGAAUUUGAAUUUGAUUCUACAUACUACAGUCCCUACCAAAUUCCUAGUGAGGAAGAUGAAUCUGCCCUGGCAACCAAGCAGCAAAUCGAUAGUGUUCACGAAAAGCUUGAUUCACUACUCGCUUUGACAUCAAAGUAUAAUGAUGUUAUUCUCAAAGCCUUCAUAGAUACAACGAUGAACCAAUAUGCAGAAUUCUUCGAAAAUUGUACUACUACAAUCGAUGAUUCUACUUCUUUGUGAAAAUGAGCCUCUUCUGAUAUUAAAGAUCACAUUCAUGACUCCAAGGUUUUUUUUGACUCUUUCAAAGGUCAUGCUGAUUCCAAUGCUGCCAAGCUCACAGAUUCCAUUGAUUUGCUUUCUCACUCUCUUCAAGCGGAGCAGACCAAGUUUGAGACUGUCCGUCUGACAUCUCUGCUGACAACAAGACUUUCUUGUCUUCUCUUGACUCUCGGUUCGAAAAGCUUAUUGUUGAUCUUCUCAUGGAAAGGCAACUCAAAGAUGAUCUUGCUCAACAGAUGGCGAUCAAUGCAGUCUAGCAAGUAGCACUUGCCAAGGCCGAACACGAAAUUUCGCUGUUGAAAACCGAACGAGCUAUUUUUCGCAGCUGUGCUAGGGAUGUUCUGUCUCAGUUACAUACACUACUUCUGGCUCAUGAUCCAAUUCUCACGCUCACUAUUCGCAAUUGUUUGACCUCGAAACUCCUUCCAUCAAUUGAACUCUUACGAGAAAUGAAGGGUGUUUCGGAGAGAAUUGUUCCUCCGCAACAAGGGGGAGAAGAGAAGCCACAACCUAUUCCACUUAAACCGAAGGUCAAAACCGAACCGAAGGAUAAUUUAGCUUCAGGUUAUGGUGUCAAAGAAAGGAAAAAAAACGUUUUAUUGGAGAAGAUAAUGAGGAUGACGAAGAUCAAGAAACUAUUUCUGAGAUCCUGAACCGAAAGAAAAGGGAUGAGGAGAUAGAUGAAACUCUUCGAGCUGCUAAUGAAGCUGGGGAAAGAGAAAAGAAGAAGAAAGAAGAGGAUGAUGCAUUAAGUUUCAAGAAGAUGUUGUUCCCUUCGUGGACAAGAGAAACACUCAUCAGGGAGGCGAUAGAGUUUCCAAGCACCUACUGGCUAGAGACUGUAACCUCCUUUGACUGUGAGAAUACAAGUGAUUCACAGUUCGACAUGCCUAUUACUCGAAAGGCAUUUGUUUUUCACUGUUUUGAGCCGACAAAUGAUGUUCCUUCACCUCAUCCUCAGUUCGACUGUGAACUUAUUGAUUUUUAUCUUGAGUUCAGUCAGCCUCUAUUCCUGAUCUGGAGUGCUCAGAAAAUUACUACGGUUAAGGUGUUGAAACCAUCGUCUGCCGGAAAGUUUAUCAAUGUUUCUUUCAGGAUAAAUUGAGGUUCAAGUAACUCAGUUUCUAUUAUCUCCCUGUCAGAUAUUCCUAACUUGAAUCCUCAUGAUUGGAUUGCUCUUCAAUAUUUUGCUCACUAAUGCAACAAGAGGUGGAGCCAACUGUAAAGCCAUGAGAUAUCAACAAAAUGACUCUCGGUCAAAUUGAUCUUGCUCACCUCACAGUGAUGUUUACAAGAGCCAAAGGUGAAAGGUUCUUAUUUGCUCUGGUGGACAAACAUUUGUUCUCGACUGACUGCCUAGAACACAUCAUCAAUAUCAUUCAUCAGUGCAAGGUAAAUUUCGAGUCUGAUAUGAAGAACUUCACAGAUAUGCUUCGGUGGUACAUCACUUUUCGACAAACUCUGUUACCCAUCAUACCUAGUGUGUUCAAGACUAUCAUAUAAGUCUGUUGCAGAUCAACUGAAGUAAGCUCUCGGUUCUAUUAACGCAGAGGGGGAGAUUGUUGGGUAUUAUGUGUUGCGUCAUGGGCUAUUCUUUUGUAUAUCCGGUAUUGGGCCUGUCAAACCGUGAUUAUAGAUUAGGGUUAUGUAUAAUAUAUAGUGCAUGCAUGUAUGCCUUAGAUGCCAGCCAUUGAUUAUCUUUUGCAUUGUAACCCUAAGCACCUCUACAGUCGAAGUUCUUCAUCGAACUCUUCUAGGGUGUUAAUGUUUAAUCAUUCGACAUCAUUCAAACCAUUCUUGUGUUUUGUAUUGCUUCAUUUAAUGUUUUUCUGCUUGAAUCUAUCAAUCAUUAAGGAAUAUUAUUCCAACACUUUAUAAUAUUAUAAAUUAAUAUAUAUAUAUAUAUAUAUAUAUAUAUAUAUAUAUAUUAACUUAUAAUAUUAUAAAGUGUUGGAAUAAUGUACCUUAAUGAUCGAUAGAUUCAAGCAGAAAAACAUUAAAUGAAGCAAUAAAGAACACAAGAAUGGUUUGAAUGAUGUCGAAUGAUUAAACGUUAUAUAUAUAUAUAUUAGAGCAAGUCGUCUUACCAUUAGUAGGCCUCAUUCACGAAGCCGGUUUUAAGGGGGUAUAAGGUUGUUGCCUAUAAAAUGGCAGCUUAAUGGGUGUCCACUCUCACCCACCGCUUCCUUGAUCAGUGGAGGGUUGUUAGCCGAAUGGGUAGGAAAAGGACUUAUAAAUUCUCAUCAAAAUUAGUCCUAGCUUGGCCAAGAACUCACAUGUGUCAUCAUUAAAUCAUCAAGGGGCCCACAGAUAUCUCUUUUAUCCAAAAGGUAAAAGGAAUGGAUAAACUUCGACUCAUAUGGCUUAUUCUACUACUUUUUGAGUCAUACACAAAGGCACGUCUUAUAACAUCGAGUAACCAAUGCGGUUUCGUGCAAUCAAUGUACAACCAACUCAUAGUAACAACUCCUAUCUCUAGGUUUGAAGACUAUAAGAUAUUAUCGUCUCAUGAUCACUCAUGAUAAAAUCCAUGAAGUGAUUCAAAUGAGCGUGGGUUGAAUCCAAUACUCAGAAUUUAUGAGCACUCAUGAGUGUUGUAGUACAACUUUGUUGUAACAACAACAAAAUUCAGGUCAAAAUUAAACUUUUAUAAAAUUGUAAUUGAUUAUACUAAGUGGUAAAUAUUGUAACAAGGUUUUCAUACAUAUAAAGAACACAAAAAUCCGAGUUAUAACGAGGAAGUUAUAACCAUUCUAAAAUUCCCGACAAAACCGGCAACACCGAUUAAACGAAAAACGCGAAGUUUCAAUACAAUAGUUUUUAGCCUUAAGUAUCUAAAUAAAAGUUAUAGAUAACAUCAAACCGUGAGCGUACAUAAAAAGAACGUCCAAAUCUGACUUCGUAUGAGGAAGUUAUGAUUUUUCCAAGGUUCGGGUAUAGCAGUAGACAGCUAAAAACUCGAAAUAGAGCUCGAGAUACUUUUGACCAAAACAACCUAAAUGAGAAUCGAAGGUCUCAACAUUAGUAGCGCAACGGCGAAAAGUCUGACGAAAACGGACAUCGGAUGAAGAAGUUAUGGAAUUUUAACGGACUUUUCGUGUCCCGGCCCGUUAAAAAUAAAUAAUUAAAAAUAAAGUCAAAAUUUGCCGAUGAAGUCUAAACGAGAGUUGUAGAUCAUAUUUUUAGCUACGCGUGCAUAUAAAGAACGUCGAAAACGGAGCUCGUAUGCGAAAGUUAUGGAUUUUACAAGUUCGGGGUCCAAAAUCCGAGGCUGUCAGGCCCCACGACGUGGCACAAGCUUGCCGCGACCCGGCAAGUGACUGAGGGCGUCCAAUCAAUGGAAGAGGAUAGGUUUGACUCCCCACGACGUGGCCAUCACUUGCCACGACGUGGCACACCCCAAAAAUGCCCCUAUAAGUAGAUUUCAAGGGCUCCGAGUUCCAUUGUUCAGUUCCUUUCUUUCUCGCGCCGAAACUCUGCGUUUAAGCCCCCGAGACCCUCCCAAAGCCCCGGUUUUCACCUUCAAGUCCCGAAGGAAGGUUUUGUGUUCUCGAGAUUCCCGAGAUUCCCGAGAAUCCCGAUAUUUUCCCGCGUUUCCAACUCUUCCUGUCGAAGUUCUGCUCGAUUCUCCUCUCGACUACUUCAAAUCAACCACUUCAAUCAAGUGAGUUCAUACCCCUACAACCACACUUUAAAUGCUUUUUAAAUGCUUUUGAAACACUUUUAAGGGGGGGAAUACAAGUAAACACACAACUAAAAUCGUGUGAAACAUCGAUCUUUUUAUAUACUUUUCAUACUGUUGUUUUAAACUAUCUUAUGAAGUUAUUAUCAUGCAAAACACCUCACAACACAACUUUACCCUCUUGGGAUACAAUAUGUUUUAUAAAUAGAAAUAGGUUUUAUUUAUACGUUUGCAUACUACAUCAUAUCAAGAGUAACCAUUUCAAAUAUAACAUGAUGCUUUUACAAGAAAACUCAACUCAUCAUCACGUUUUUGUAACACGGUAGAAAACGAAAUCAUUUCAUACGAACGAUUUUCAUCAUAUUACUCGUGAACUUGUUGUUAGCAAUCAUGUGAUGGCAUAUGGCUUUGUUUGUACCAAACGAAAGUCCUCACCUAUAACCAGAGUCUCCUGGAGGGAGAGCGUGACAAGUGUGUAUAGAUCUAUACGGGGCUGACAACUCCGCACCCUGACUGUUAGCUACAGUCCGUCAUUUGGGGUGACAAACGUCAACAUUAGGUACUGCGUCUAGUAUGGUUAUGAGGAACUCACAACACGCGGAAACAAUGACUCAUGCACGUAGUAAUACUUAACUCAAUCAUGCUCGAGGGGUAAUAACUAUAUUCUAGGGUAUUAUCGGCAUGAUCAAAACUCAGGUUAAAACACUUCCACAACUAGUUUUACUUAACAAUAAGACUGCACUUCACUUUUAGGAAAAUAAGGGAUUUUCCUGGUUCAAAUACAUUCAUUUUGUACAAUAACGAUUUACAACAUCAUUCUUUUGAGCAUGUCAUAGUUUCUUAUAGCUUACAGUCUUGGUCAUUUGAGACUGCAUUUCACUUUUAGGAAAAUAAGGGAUUUUCCUGGUUCAAAUACAUAUAGUACAUACAACAAUCUUUCAAACUCAUUUCAUACAUCUAAUAGAAAAUAAGGGAUUUUCUGGAAAACAUACACGCACUUUCGAAUGGCAUACAUUUUCUCAAAACACCACUUAUGAACUCACCAACUUAAAUGUUGACACUUUUUCUUUGAAAUAACUUGUAUUCUCAGGAAACCGCUAGACCAGGUAGCAACUACUUUUGAAGACUAACGCGCUGGCGUUAGUAACAUAUUUUGGAUCACCAUAUUGUAUUUGAUUUCUUUUGCAAACAUGUAACAUAUACAAUCAUGUAAACUUUUCAAAUAUAUUUAUAUUAUGGUGGUGUGUACUUUCUUUACUAUUCAAUUGUUAUGAUAUUUGACAUGACGUCCUCCGCCCCCGAACGUUUCCGCCGUUCUGGUUUGGGGGUGUGACAGAUUGGUAUCAGAGCAUUGUUUAUAGUGAAUUAAGUAUAUCAAAACCAUUUUUGGUAUACAACUAUAAACACAACUGGGCAAAAACACUCUGAGUAAGAGUCAUACUUUUAAAAAUUAAAUUUAUUUAGUUUUUGUAAAGUAGGCAUGCAUUCAUUUCAUAUUAAUAAUAGGGUCGGUAUCAUAAUUAAAACAAUAUAGAAGUAUUAUAAAUAAGUUGCGCAGUGCAGGUAUGCUUUGGGACAUGUAAUCGGAACUGGGAAGAAUAUAGCCUGAUCAACUAUAUUUGUCCAAGAGCCGACUAACGUAUGCCAAGGAGUGUCUGCAAUGGACAACAAAUUUAAAACUUACCAAACUUAUAAACUUUACAAUCAAACAUAACAUUUAGAAUACUAUAGGAGUAUUUUAUGCAUACGAUAGUUUAACGUUGAUGUCAACCUUAAGUGCCUUAGUUCUAGACAAUCCUUAUCUCCCUAUUCGUGUACAAACACAAUGGCUGGAUUUCCACCUAGCAGGAGACCCCUACUACCCAUACCAGUAGACCCUUUCACUUUAACCAUCGACUAACGAAACUCGAUUGAUUUAUCACGACAAANGGUUUCAAGUUUCAAAACCCCGAGGUACUCAUGUGAGGAGUACUAUAUCAUUGCAACCUUCCCGUAGUAUCCCCCAACAGAUCAUUUAGAAAUACCACACAUACAACGAGUCAAAUCCAAGCUCAAAAACUAGGAGUGAAUUCGAACAUGAACUUCAAAACGUAGCUGCCCUAAUGCAUCGAGUGAAUAUGCAACAUUUAGAAGAACAUAAGUAAAUAAACCCAAAACCACACGAUCCCGAUCGGUCGAAGUGAUAGGCGGAGUAAUGAAGGUCCGCUGAAACACACACAUUAGGAUCUAGAUUAAUAAAGGAACAAGAGGAACAAAUCGACCAGAAGCACUCACGCCUGCCCGCAAGAAUUGGAGUCCCGGUCAAAAUAGGAAUUUCGGGACGAAAUUCUCUCUAACGGGGGGAUAAUGUAACAACAGCAAAAUUCAGGUCAAAAUUUAAACUUUUAUAAAACCGUAAUUGAGUAUACUAAGUGGUAAAUAUCGUAACAAGGUUUUCAUACAUAUAAAGAACACAAAAAUCCGAGUUAUAACGAGGAAGUUAUAACCAUUCUAAAAUUCCCGACAAAACCGGCAACACCGAUUAAACGAAAAACGCGAAGUUUCAAUACAAUAGUUUUUAGCCUUAAGUAUCUAAAUAAAAGUUAUAGAUAACAUCAAACCGUGAGCGUACAUAAAAAGAACGUCCAAAUCUGACUUCGUAUGAGGAAGUUAUGAUUUUUCCAAGGUUCGGGUAUAGCAGUAGACAGCUAAAAACUCGAAAUAGAGCUCGAGAUACUUUUGACCAAAACAACCUAAAUGAGAAUCGAAGGUCUCAACAUUAGUAGCGCAACGGCGAAAAGUCUGACGAAAACGGACAUNNNNNNNNNNNNNNNNNNNNNNNNNNNNNNNNNNNNNNNNNNNNNNNNNNNNNNNNNNNNNNNNNNNNNNNNNNNNNNNNNNNNNNNNNNNNNNNNNNNNNNNNNNNNNNNNNNNNNNNNNNNNNNNNNNNNNNNNNNNNNNNNNNNNNNNNNNNNNNNNNNNNNNNNNNNNNNNNNNNNNNNNNNNNNNNNNNNNNNNNNNNNNNNNNNNNNNNNNNNNNNNNNNNNNNNNNNNNNNNNNNNNNNNNNNNNNNNNNNNNNNNNNNNNNNNNNNNNNNNNNNNNNNNNNNNNNNNNNNNNNNNNNNNNNNNNNNNNNNNNNNNNNNNNNNNNNNNNNNNNNNNNNNNNNNNNNNNNNNNNNNNNNNNNNNNNNNNNNNNNNNNNNNNNNNNNNNNNNNNNNNNNNNNNNNNNAUAAGUACAAAAAGGUCUUUAGUAUCAAACUUAAGGAUUAUUUCAUGCAAAGUUUCUAAUAAAAACGUAAGAAUAUGAACAACAAUUACGAAACAUGCCAAAUCAUCCUUUAAAACUUAUACAUAUAUAUAACCAUAUACAUAUAUAUGUUUUGUUUACAAACUUGUCUUCUACAUCAAAAAUUUAACUUUACUCGUUUUUAUCAAAUGAAUCACUUGUGAUUUAUUACUACUAUGUGAAAACUCUUGUCAUACUUCGCAUGCACUAGAUUUAUACAAAGUAUUUAGAAAUUCCAAAGUAUUCUUCGUUGCUAAACCGUUUUAUACAUUCAAAGAACUUAUGAUUUAUGCUUUGUCAAACAUUGUGAAAAAGGAUAAACUUUGCAUACAAAACUACUACUUUAAUACAGACUUAGUUGAGAAUCCAUGAGACGUGUACAUCUUCAAACACUGCCUUUUUGAUAAAAGGUAUCGCUACAAGUCCUGUCUAUAACCAGAGUCUCCCGUUCGGAGAACGUGUCAAAUGUGUAUAGAUCUAUACGGGAAGUCAUGAUCCCGCGCCCUGACUGUUAGCUACAGUCCGUCUUUUGGGGUGACAGUUGUCAUAACGCUACGACGCCUGAAGAACGUCGCUACAGGCAUAUUAUGUUUAGUAUGGUUAUAAAACUCAUCGGAUAUACAAUUAUUAUGGUAUUAUGCUUUUAUGAAAGAGUAGCUAUUAAAACUAUUCUUCAUCUAACAAAUGUGAUCUUCGUAUAGCUUUAUUUUAUAAAACUAUGCCACACCUUUCGAGCACGUCGGUUGCUUGCGAUUUUCGGUCUUAGAGACUGCCAGUUAUGUCAGGAAAAUAAGGGUUUUUCCUGUAUACAAACCAAACAACUAAUAGGAAAAUAAGGGAUUUUCUCAGUACAAUUAGUUGCAACUUAUAUCACGAACAUUCAUGUGUAUUUCAUACUUUUAUAAGAAAAUAAUGGUUUUUCUUAGAAAACACAACAAAUCAUAUCUCAACUAUUAGGGAAAAUAUGGGAUUUUCUGGAUCUAAUACAUUCAUUUUCAACACAACGAAUCAUAACUCUUUACAAUUGAAAUACUACGUUUUCUGGAAAACAUACACGAACUUUCGAAUGGCGUACAUUUUCUCAAAACACUACUUAUGAACUCACCAACUUAAUUGUUGACACUUUUUCUUUGAAAUAACUUGUAUUCUCAGGGAACCGCUAAGCAGAUUUGGAAAUCAACUUUUGGGGAUUAACGUGCUGACGUUAAUUACUUCUUUUGAAGGAUGUUUAUGUAUUUAUCUUUUGAACAAGUAACGAAUACGAUUAUGUAAACAUUUUGGAAACAUUAAUAUUAUGGUGGUGUGUACUUUCCUUUCUAUGAACUGUUAUGAUACUGAAUAUGACGUCCUCCGCCCCCGAACGUUUCCGCCGUUCUGGUUUGGGGGUGUGACAUUUGUCCACCAACUUGGACCUCUACAAGCCAACCCAUGACAGUCUUGAUUCAUAUCUAUUUCCAACAUAUGACCGAAUAUGGAUGGUUUGAAUAACUUAGUCAUUCCGGAAGAAUAACCUAGUUAUUAUGGAAGUCAAAACAUGCAAAGUGAAACACAAGAAUAAAUUAAUCAAAUAUGGUAUCAAACCCUAUCAAUUUAAAUAGACCACUUUUAUUUAUCACCAUACUGAUUACUCAUUGUUCAUUGGUUCGGUUUUAUCAACUUUAUACCUGAAUUAAAAUCACUAGUUGUCCCAUGCUCCAAGCAUGGACACUAUGUUUUUCUAAACAAUAGCUUUUCCAUACACCAAGUAUGCACUCUAUGUUUGUCUAUGAUCCUUUUCUUUGUGAACUAGAUCAAUCGAACAUAAUUUCAAUGAUUCUCUUUUCACACUACCAAAUCCUUUGUCUUAAAUGUAAGAAUUGCAAAUUCCUAUCAUUUAUCGAAAUCUGUUUAGAUUUUAAACUUAUAUGCACUGUUACUCUUGUAAUGAUUAUGUACAAAGCCACAAAUACAUGGCAAUAGUCAUUACAGAGUAUUCCAAUGGAGAGCAAUUCCAUGGAAACAGUGUCUCAAAUUCAAAGU